UUGAAAAGUGAUGUGUGUUUUUACCGCCCCAGUCUGAGAAUUCAUGACUGAUUGGUAUACGAUCUGAUUUA